UACGGAGGGAGCUAGCGUUGUUCGGAAUUACUGGGCGUAAAGCGCACGUAGGCGGCUUUUUAAGUCAGGGGUGAAAUCCUGGAGCUCAACUCCAGAACUGCCUUUGAUACUGGGAAGCUUGAGUCCGGGAGAGGUGAGUGGAACUCCGAGUGUAGAGGUGAAAUUCGUAGAUAUCUGGAGGAACACCGGUGGCGAAGGCGGCAUCCUGGACCGGCAUUGACGCUGAGGCGCGAAAGCCAGGGGAGCAAACGGG
rnacentral:rRNA from 1 species